rnacentral:lncRNA from 1 species
GUUUUAUUCUUGGUGCUUUCAAGACCUGAUGCUUUGUUUUGAACAGGUUGAUACAUCUAGGAGUGAAAUACAUCACCGCUUUCCCUGCUCCCGCCGCCAUUAAAAUUGUGUUUGGCAUCUGACCACCAAGAUACAGAUAUUUCCUAGACUGUUUUGCAGCUAGGUACUUAGCAUUUCUCUUUCCUCUGGAGAAAAAUAUCUGCUUUCUUUAAAAUAAAUGUUCCAUCCAUGCAGCUAAGCAGCUAAGGACACGAACAGCCACUGAUACAGGCCAACUCAUCAGUAGAUUAUUGAGAUUUCAUACUAGGACCUUUCAUUGGCUGAACAAAGACAAAGACAGAAAUCAAGGAAGGUCAAAGAAGCAGUCAGUUUUCUGGCACCCAAAGUUGUUGGAGAAGGGUACAGAGUCGGUAAAUAAGUCAUAUGACAGACAGGCAGUAUUUUCUUAUUUUAAUAACAAGUUUAAAAAUCCCACUUCUUGUACUUACCUUCUGUCUGACGUCAUCAGUAUUUUAAAAUGCCAACUGGGAUCAAGUUCAACACUGCAUUACUGAAGAAUCCAGAUUAUCUACAUUUCAAGUGCCAAAUGAAAGAAAGAACCCAGAAAAUAAAACAAUAUGAUGAUAACAG